AGCUCUGAUUCAGAUGUAUAUUAGCUCAGCUAAGCGAUGUACUGGGGAUUUUGGCAUUCCCCUUCCUCAUGACAGCAAAAUCUGGGCAAAGUUGAAAGUUGCAAGAUUCCAGUCAAACAAUUAUCCUUGCUUGGGUAAAUAUCAUCAAAUGAAACAAAUGUGAGUGAGUUACAAAGCCACUAGACGCAUCAUCUCCUAGAAGACCAGCGUUCUCGUAAUCAUGGAGGCCUCUCUGUCCUUUCUGUGACUGGAGCAAUGCUGACCUCGGUUUCCUGGACCCAUUCUGACUCAGGAGCCUUCACGUAAAUGGGUCCAGUCAUGCCUCCCAGUAAGAAGCCAGAAAGCUCAGGAAUUAGUGUCUCCAGUGGGCUGAGUCAGUGUUACCGGGGCAGCGGUUUCUCCAAGGCCCUUCAGGAAGACGAUGACCUCGACUUUUCUCUGCCUGACAUCCGAUUAGAAGAGGGGGCCAUGGAAGAUGAAGAGCUGACCAACCUGAACUGGCUGCACGAGAGCAAGAACCUGCUGAAGAGCUUCGGGGACUCGGUCCUGCGGAGCGUCAGCCCCGUCCAGGACCUGGACGAUGACACGCCCCCAUCCCCUGCCCACUCUGACAUGCCCUACGAUGCCAGGCAGAACCCCAACUGCAAACCCCCCUACUCCUUCAGCUGCCUCAUAUUUAUGGCCAUCGAGGACUCGCCAACCAAGCGCCUGCCGGUAAAGGAUAUCUACAACUGGAUCUUGGAACAUUUUCCGUAUUUUGCAAACGCACCUACUGGGUGGAAAAACUCAGUGCGACAUAAUUUGUCCUUGAAUAAGUGUUUUAAGAAAGUGGACAAAGAGAGGAGUCAGAGUAUCGGGAAAGGGUCAUUGUGGUGCAUAGACCCAGAGUAUAGACAAAAUCUAAUUCAGGCUUUGAAAAAGACACCUUAUCACCCACACUCGAAUGUGUUCAAUACACCUCCCGCCUCUCCUCAGGCAUAUCAAAGCACAUCAGGUCCACCCCUCUGGCCGGGCAGCACCUUCUUCAAGAGAAAUGGAGCCCUUCUACAAGCAUAAAAGCAAUUGCAAGAAUUAACUGGAAGCGCUCGAGGUCCUGUUGAGGGCGGCCUCUGUGUUUCGGUUCUCGCAGAUUCACUGGCAAGAGGGCCUGCUGAAUCAUCUUGCAGUUUUGAGGAUAAUGGGCCCCCUGGAUGAGCUAAUGAAAUGGAAAGAAGACCUUCCAGGCCUUUUCAGUGCACAGAGCAGGACUGAGCUGCCGCAGGCCCGAGAGCAGAUAGGGGAAAGGAAACCAGCUCUUCUGCUGUCAGAUGCACGUUGUCCCCAUGAGCGCACAGAUGUGCUUGCCACUGGUGUGAAACGUGCAGGAAGUUGAUUAUGCCCAGUAGAUGACCUGCUUUGGGGAAUGCCAGCUUCCCAAGUUCUAGGCCGGCUUCAUGCGCUUAUUUUCCUGGGAGUCCUAUUAUGUAUUGCCCGCUCUCCACAACCCUUAUGCCUUACCCUCUCCCAUAGCUCCGCAGUGGGUUUUUUCUGGUAAAAUGUAUGCAGUACCUCCCUUUGGUUGUGUUUGGGGCUGUGAAAGUCUCAGCAGCAAGUAGUCAGUACAUCAGAAACAAGCUCCUGUGGAAAGGAGCCCUGGAUUACCAGUGAGGGGACCUGGCUGUGGUCCCAACUCUGCCACUUGGUAAACUCUGACCUUGGGCAAAACUCAGGCACCCCUAGGAUUUCAUGUUCUUGCCUGUGAAUUAAGGAGCGGACCUCAGGAGUGGCAGGGGUUUCCUGCGGAUUACAGCUCUGAGCCAUACUCGCAACUUCCCUAGAGGGGGUCAAGGGCUUUCCUGGUGGUCCAGUGGUUAAGACUCCGUGCUUCCACUGCAGGGUGCACAGGUUUGAUCCUUGGUCGGGGAAGAUCCUGCAUGCUGCGUGGUGCGACCAAAAAAAAAAAAGACAAGAAAAAAUGAAAUAUAGUAAAGUGGGUCAAAAUGGUUUCGAGGCGUAGCUCAGCGGGAGGAGUGCUACCUUCAGCCAGCAGUGUCCGCGGAUGGCCCAAGGAGAGGAAACAGGGUGAUGGUUGGCUGGCUACAUCUUGAUCCUUGAACAAACCCUUUCUCAGACCCUUUCUCAUGGAUCGUAGGAAGGCAACAUACUACAGAUUUGGACAACCUGGAAAGGACCCAUCUUGGCCUCGUGGGCACCUGGCUUAACCCUCUCUGUGGGGAUAAUAAUAAACAUGCUUGCCGUAUGGGGUUCUUAUAGGACUCAAUGAAUUCAUAUCAGUAAAGCCCUGAGAACAGGCUGAAUUCCCAUAGUUAUUAUAUCAUUGUACAAAACUAUGAAUCUUAGGAAAACAGGGCUAGCAUCCUCUGAAUGUGGUGUCCCUGUGCUGUUUCUCUUCGCUGCUAAAAUUUCCCUUGUCCAUUUGUUGGGGCUAGUGAUUCUCAGAACAGGGCAAAAGAUGGGAUACCCCGGAUCCUAUUGGAUUUAUAUGUGGAUCUGAAAGACAACUUGUUCAACUCUUUAUAUCAGAUUCCUUUCAAAUAGGACUGCUUCCGUGUGAGGUCCCCCAGCUCACAAAGACUGAGUUAUACCCCUUGCUGUACAGUUGUACAUACCCAGCAGGUGCAUAGAUGACCACGCAACAAAGCACGGAUUCAGCACCACAUCAGCCCAGGUUUAAAUCCCUCUCUCUUUGGGCACCCAGUUGUUUGACCUUGGGCCUCAGUUUCAAGUGUCUGUAAAAUGGGGCUACGAGUUGUGCUCCCCAGAAUCUUUGCAGAGAUUAAAGGAAGGUGUGAACGUGGAAACAUUUGUCCAGUCCAGUGCCUGGCCUGGCACCUCACAAACACUUAAUAAAGAGUGAAGUUAACCUU